UACGUAGGGCGCAAGCGUUUAUCCGGAAUUAUUGGGCGUAAAAGAGCUCGUAGGCGGUUUGUCGCGUCUGCCGUGAAAGUCCGGGGCUCAACUCCGGAUCUGCGGUGGGUACGGGCAGACUAGAGUGAUGUAGGGGAGACUGGAAUUCCUGGUGUAGCGGUGAAAUGCGCAGAUAUCAGGAGGAACACCGAUGGCGAAGGCAGGUCUCUGGGCAUUAACUGACGCUGAGGAGCGAAAAGCAUGGGGGAGCGAACAGG
rnacentral:rRNA from 1 species